GAUCAUGGCUCAGGAUGAACGCUAGCUACAGGCUUAACACAUGCAAGUCGAGGGGCAGCAUCAUCAAAGCUUGCUUUGAUGGAUGGCGACCGGCGCACGGGUGAGUAACACGUAUCCAACCUGCCGACAACACUGGGAUAGCCUUUCGAAAGAAAGAUUAAUACCGGAUGGCAUAGUUUUCCCGCAUGGGAUAAUUAUUAAAGAAUUUCGGUUGUCGAUGGGGAUGCGUUCCAUUAGGCAGUUGGCGGGGUAACGGCCCACCAAACCAACGAUGGAUAGGGGUUCUGAGAGGAAGGUCCCCCACAUUGGAACUGAGACACGGUCCAAACUCCUACGGGAGGCAGCAGUGAGGAAUAUUGGUCAAUGGACGAGAGUCUGAACCAGCCAAGUAGCGUGAAGGAUGACUGCCCUAUGGGUUGUAAACUUCUUUUAUACGGGAAUAAAGUUAGCCACGUGUGGCUUUUUGUAUGUACCGUAUGAAUAAGGAUCGGCUAACUCCGUG
rnacentral:rRNA from 1 species